AUAAAAUCAGGUAAAAAACUGAGUUUGUGACUUUCAUUUUCCUACAUAGAGGGACAGAGAGAACAUCACUCGGGGACUGAACCUCAAAGCAGAAAGAUGAGAGUCACCAGCAUGCUUCUCCUUGUCACAUUGGGGCUGCUUGCAGUGUGCCAGGCUAGAUCAGGGAACGAAAGGGACUGCAAGUACGAUCACCAGCGCUUCGGUCACGGGACCGCCUGUGAGGACAAUUGCCAGAACUAUAAAGAGGGACCGAGACCCUGCACAAAGGAAGUCGUACAGGGCUGCUUCUGCAUGAAACCAUACAUCUUCCGGGACGGGCAGCGCGGCCCCUGCACCCGCCCGGAGGAUUGUCCAAAUUAAAUGACCGAAUGCCGCAAAUAAUCUGCGUCUGACGCCGGCCCAACGGCGGCACAAACCGGAGUAUGACACAAGAGAAAACAUUGUAUGUACCAAUAAAGACCCGCACUGUACAUCCUGC